rnacentral:lncRNA from 1 species
CUGGGACUGAGCAGCCUUGGACUGUGACAGCAGGAGCAGAGGACUAGACCAUACCACAGCAUCCCACCCAACCCUGCAACAAACCACUUGAGAGGACAAAGACUUUCCAAUGGAAGAGAGACACAGAAGGCUGAGUAACAACCAGGAGGAGCCAAAGUUUCAUGGGACUGAGAAGAGCCUCCUGUCCCUGUCUGAAAAACAACACAGCAGGUUUGAAAACCACAGUUGUAAAUGGGGGACAAAAGUGAUUGAGGAAAUACUGUAUGUCCUGGAAGACAGAACAACUCAUCUUUUCAUUGUCACAAGACGAAGUAACUAAGAAAUGAGUUAUCACUGUAACUUCACCACUUAUCCAAACAUAUCUCCUAACUCAAGAACGUAGAGAGGAACUUUUCCAUGACUCUUCUGGCCUUUAAAAAAUUUCAAUGUUUAUCUAAAAUCUCAAACUUAAUUAAGUAUUCCACACCAUGAUGGCCCAAAUAUUUUGCUUUGUUUUG